rnacentral:rRNA from 1 species
CGGUAAUUCCAGCUCCAAUAGCGUAUACUAAAGUUGUUGCAGUUAAAAAGCUCGUAGUUGGAUUUCUGCGGGGACGGAGCGGCCGGUCGCAACUUGCGACUCGAGCUAGCGCUUUCCCCGCAUCCUGCCGCGAACCGUGCUACCAUUAGCUUGGUGGCGCUGGGGAUCGGCUCGAUUACUUUGAGAAAAAUAGAGUGUUCAAAGCAGGCCACACGCCUUGAAUAAGUUAGCAUGGAAUAAUGACUAAGGACUUCGGUUCUAUUUUGUUGGUGUUCGGGACUGAAGUAAUGAUUGAUAGGGACAGUUGGGGCGGUCUGUAUUCCAAAGCGAGAGGUGAAAUUCUUAGACCUUCGGAAGACAAACAGCUGCGAAAGCGUUCCGCAAGGAUGUUCCCUUUGAUCAAGAACGAAAGUUGGGGGAUCGAAGACGAUCAGAUACCGUCGUAGUCUCAACUAUAAACUAUACCAGCUAGGGAUCGGUCAACGUUUAAUCAUUCGACUUGAUCGGCACCUUAUGAGAAAUCAAAGCAUCUGAGUUCCGGGGGGAGUAUGGUCGCAAGGCUGAAACUUAAAGGAAUUGACGGAAGGGCACCACCAGCCGUGGAGCCUGUGGCUUAAUUUGACUCAACACGGGAAAACUUACCAGGUCCAGACAUAGUAAGGAUUGACAGAUUGAUAGCUCUUUCUUGAUUCUGUGGGUGGUGGUGCAUGGCCGUUCUUAGUUGGUGGAGUGAUUUGUCUGGUUAAUUCCGUUAACGAACGAGACCCCAGCCUGCUAAAUAGCGCGGUUGAGCUUUGCUCGAUGCGAGCUUCUUAGAGGGACUAUGAUGCGCGAUAGCACAUGGAAGUUUGGGGCAAUAACAGGUCUGUGAUGCCCUUAGAUGUUCUGGGCCGCACACGGGCUACACUGGCGCCUGCAACGAGCAUAUCAGCUGGCCCGAGAGGGUCUUGGCUAAUCUUUUGAACCGGCGCCGUGCUUGGGAUUGACCAUUGCAAUUGUUGGUCAUGCAACGAGGAAUGCCUUGUAAACGCGAGUCAUCAGCUCGCAUUGAAUACGUCCCUGCCCUUUGUACACACCGCCCGUCGCUCCUACCGAUGAAUGUUCCGAUGAAAUUUUCGGAGAGCGCCAGAGAACGGGGCUCCGCCUUGCAGAUCUGGAGGCUCAAAGUCACUUAAAUCUGAACAUUUCGAGGAAGGAGAAGUCGUAACAAGGUAGCCG